GACGGCGGCGCCCGGCCCUAGGAGCGAGCUCUGCGGCGCGGACUGGAGGCACUGACCGUGGCGGGUCCCGCGGAGGAGCACUGAGAGGAAUCCCGAAGAGAAGCCCCGGGAGGAUUCCUCGUCGGCAGCGUGUCCCCGAGCGUCCCAGGCGCGGGGAGCAAACGUGCCACACAAAAGCUGGCAUGGGACGCGUGCAUGCAGCAACCGUGCGGGCAAUGCGGGCUUGAGCUAUCGGGAUCUGAGCAUCUCCGAGGCGGGAAGGAACCCAGAACGUCCCGUUUGGACACGGAAACGCAACCCAUAGUUUUUUAGGAGGUGGGUUAUUCUCAAGGAAUUUUUGCCCAAGAUUAUCAGUGCAGAGGAUGGACACAGAUUUUAGGGUCGAGACGUGCUGCUGGUGGAACGCUGUCGUCCUUCUUUGAAGUUUAACAACGAGGGGUGUUCCCACACGUACGGCCACCCUGGCCACCCUUGUUGAAAGCCAUUUGCCAUAGCUCUCCCCAGUUGCAUGCAAAAGGAAGAAGAGAAAAUGGACUGCUUUAAAGUGUUUCCUAAAUCCAGAGCCCUAUGAAACACAAAGCAAGUUCCUCCCUGGCGUUUUAGGGUCAGUACGUGCUUCAUUCACAGAUAUGCUGUUGGCACUGCCUGUUUAGAAGGUAAAAAUAGUGACAGGAAGCUUCCAAUUUUUUUUUCUCCUGCUGUCUCAAGUACACACCGCUUCCAGUGUUCACAGGUCAUGCCUGACGAUCCUGCUGUCUCCGCGUACCUGGCAUUAUCUCAACAGUAGCCAGGAGGAUCUGUUUUAGACACACCUCUCAUUUAGAUAAAUCCCUGUACUGCUUCUUCAUUGCCCUUCAGAUACAUCCUAACUUACAGGGGUGUGAAGGCCUUGUUACCCCAGCACAUGCCACUCACUAGCCCUCUGUUAGCUGACAACAUAGCAUUUGCCCACCUGAGUAUUUUAUGUGCCUCUUCCCGUAGCUAGCUGCUGUUGCUCAUGGUUGGUUGGUUGUUUUUGUUUUUCAUAACUGAUCCUGCAAAAGGUCUCUGAUCAUGCCAUGCUGGGAUUUGAGGCAUCUUUCUCCUUCGGGAGCUACAUGGGUCCGCUUGACACCUCCUACUCUCUCUCUAUUCUGUUAAGAUUUCCCACCUGACUUUACUCUGCUAAGUCGUUGGCCAAAGCGGCUCUAUUCAUCAACCAGUGAAAGCAACACAUGUA